rnacentral:rRNA from 1 species
UACGUAGGGUGCAAGCGUUGUCCGGAAUUAUUGGGCGUAAAGAGCUCGUAGGCGGUCUGUCACGUCGGCUGUGAAAACCCGGGGCUCAACCCCGGGCCUGCAGUCGAUACGGGCAGACUAGAGUGCGGUAGGGGAGACUGGAAUUCCUGGUGUAGCGGUGAAAUGCGCAGAUAUCAGGAGGAACACCGGUGGCGAAGGCGGGUCUCUGGACAGUUACUGACGCUGAGGCACGAAGGCCAGGGGAGCAAACGGG